AUUGAACGCUGGCGGCAGGCCUAACACAUGCAAGUCGAACGGUAACAGGAACAGCUUGCUGUUUCGCUGACGAGUGGCGGACGGGUGAGUAAUGUCUGGGAAACUGCCUGAUGGAGGGGGAUAACUACUGGAAACGGUAGCUAAUACCGCAUAACGUCGCAAGACCAAAGAGGGGGACCUUCGGGCCUCUUGCCAUCGGAUGUGCCCAGAUGGGAUUAGCUAGUAGGUGGGGUAACGGCUCACCUAGGCGACGAUCCCUAGCUGGUCUGAGAGGAUGACCAGCCACACUGGAACUGAGACACGGUCCAGACUCCUACGGGAGGCAGCAGUGGGGAAUAUUGCACAAUGGGCGCAAGCCUGAUGCAGCCAUGCCGCGUGUAUGAAGAAGGCCUUCGGGUUGUAAAGUACUUUCAGCGGGGAGGAAGGGAGUAAAGUUAAUACCUUUGCUCAUUGACGUUACCCGCAGAAGAAGCACCGGCUAACUCCGUG
rnacentral:rRNA from 1 species